rnacentral:rRNA from 1 species
GGAAUCACUGGGCUUAAAGGGUGCGUAGGCGGCCGAGUAAGUCAGCGGUGAAAUUUUGCAGCUUAACUGUAACAGUGCCGUUGAUACUGCAUGGCUAGGAUUUGGUUGCUGUGGGUGGAAUGUGUGGUGUAGCGGUGAAAUGCUUAGAUAUCACACAGAAUAUCGAUUGCGAAGGCAGCUCACAAAGCCAAGAUUGACGCUGAGGCACGAAAGUGUGGGGAUCAAACAGGAUUAGAUACCCUGGUAGUCCACACUGUAAACGAUGAUAACUCACUGCCGGCGAUACACAGUCGGUGGCCAAGCGAAAGCGAUAAGUUAUCCACCUGGGGAGUACGACCGCAAGGUUGAAACUCAAAGGAAUUGACGGGGGCCCGCACAAGCGGAGGAACAUGUGGUUUAAUUCGAUGAUACGCGAGGAACCUUACCCGGGCUCGAACGGUGCAUGAAUAAGCAAGAGAUUGUUUAGUCCUUCGGGACAUGUAUCGAGGUGCUGCAUGGUUGUCGUCAGCUCGUGCCGUGAGGUGUCGGCUUAAGUGCCAUAACGAGCGCAACCCUUGUUGUUAGUUACCAACAGGUAAAGCUGGGGACUCUAACGAGACUGCCACCGUAAGGUGUGAGGAAGGGGGGGAUGACGUCAAAUCAGCACGGCCCUUAUGUCCGGGGCGACACACGUGUUACAAUGGGGGGUACAGAGGGCAGCCAUCCGGUGACGGAGCGCCAAUCUCCAAAACCCUUCUCAGUUCGGAUUGGAGUCUGCAACCCGACUCCAUGAAGUUGGAUUCGCUAGUAAUCGCGCAUCAGCCAUGGCGCGGUGAAUACGUUCCCGGGCCUUGCACACACCGCCCGUAAGGGCG